GGAAGCGUGUGUGGGAUGGCACAACUAAGCAUCGAUCGUUACAUAGAGAUACUAUCUUAUAGAUAGAUCACUAUGUGGCAGAUCUGCUCAGUUAGUGUUGUCAUAUCUUGAGCUUUCAGAUCAUCCGAUAAGCUUCUUGAUUUUAGACUCCCGAUUGCGCAUGCAACUUCGUUUUAAAAUCACGUAUUUGCACGCCUGCACGGUCGAGUCUUCCUCGUAGUACCGCGAUUUCCAAAUUUGGGGGGUAAUCGAUUUGGUCAGAGGUAAUUUGUCGCUUCCACAUGCAGGCACUGCUGAUGGCGGUACGCCAUCUUUUUUG
rnacentral:snRNA from 1 species